GAGGUUAAGCGACUAAGCGUACACGGUGGAUGCCUAGGCAGUCAGAGGCGAUGAAGGGCGUGCUAAUCUGCGAAAAGCGUCGGUAAGGUGAUAUGAACCGUUAUAACCGACGAUACCCGAAUGGGGAAACCCAGUGCAAUUCGUUGCACUAUUGCAUGGUGAAUACAUAGCCAUGCAAGGCGAACCGGGGAACUGAAACAUCUAAGUACCCCGAGGAAAAGAAAUCAACCGAGAUUCCCCCAGUAGCGGCGAGCGAACGGGGAGGAGCCCAGAACCUGAAUCAGCGUAUGUGUUAGUGGAAGCGUCUGGAAAGUCGCACGGUACAGGGUGAUAGUCCCGUACACAAAAAUGCAUAUGUUGUGAGUUCGAUGAGUAGGGCGGGACACGUGACAUCCUGUCUGAAUAUGGGGGGACCAUCCUCCAAGGCUAAAUACUCCUGACUGACCGAUAGUGAACCAGUACCGUGAGGGAAAGGCGAAAAGAACCCCGGCGAGGGGAGUGAAAUAGAACCUGAAACCGUGUACGUACAAGCAGUGGGAGCACCUUCGUGGUGUGACUGCGUACCUUUUGUAUAAUGGGUCAGCGACUUAUAUUUUGUAGCAAGGUUAACCGAAUAGGGGAGCCGUAGGGAAACCGAGUCUUAACUGGGCGAAUAGUUGCAAGGUAUAGACCCGAAACCCGGUGAUCUAGCCAUGGGCAGGUUGAAGGUUGGGUAACACUAACUGGAGGACCGAACCGACUAAUGUUGAAAAAUUAGCGGAUGACUUGUGGCUGGGGGUGAAAGGCCAAUCAAACCGGGAGAUAGCUGGUUCUCCCCGAAAGCUAUUUAGGUAGCGCCUCGUGAACUCAUCUUCGGGGGUAGAGCACUGUUUCGGCUAGGGGGUCAUCCCGACUUACCAAACCGAUGCAAACUCCGAAUACCGAAGAAUGUUAUCACGGGAGACACACGGCGGGUGCUAACGUCCGUCGUGAAGAGGGAAACAACCCAGACCGCCAGCUAAGGUCCCAAAGUCAUGGUUAAGUGGGAAACGAUGUGGGAAGGCAUAGACAGCCAGGAUGUUGGCUUAGAAGCAGCCAUCAUUUAAAGAAAGCGUAAUAGCUCACUGGUCGAGUCGGCCUGCGCGGAAGAUGUAACGGGGCUAAACCAUGCACCGAAGCUGCGGCAGCGACACUUAGGUGUUGUUGGGUAGGGGAGCGUUCUGUAAGCCGUUGAAGGUGACCUGUGAGGGUUGCUGGAGGUAUCAGAAGUGCGAAUGCUGACAUAAGUAACGAUAAUGCGGGUGAAAAACCCGCACGCCGGAAGACCAAGGGUUCCUGUCCAACGUUAAUCGGGGCAGGGUGAGUCGACCCCUAAGGCGAGGCUGAAAAGCGUAGUCGAUGGGAAACAGGUUAAUAUUCCUGUACUUGGUGUUACUGCGAAGGGGGGACGGAGAAGGCUAGGCUAGCCGGGCGACGGUUGUCCCGGUUUAAGCAUGUAGGCGGAGCGACUUGGUAAAUCCGGUUGCUUAUCAACGCUGAGGUGUGAUGACGAGCCACUACGGUGGUGAAGUAGUUGAUGCCAAGCUUCCAGGAAAAGCCUCUAAGCAUCAGGUAACAUUAAAUCGUACCCCAAACCGACACAGGUGGUCAGGUAGAGAAUACUCAGGCGCUUGAGAGAACUCGGGUGAAGGAACUAGGCAAAAUGGUGCCGUAACUUCGGGAGAAGGCACGCUGGCAUUAGGUAAAGGGACUUGCUCCCGGCGCCGAAGCCAGUCGCAGAUACCAGCUGGCUGCAACUGUUUAAUAAAAACACAGCACUGUGCAAACACGAAAGUGGACGUAUACGGUGUGACGCCUGCCCGGUGCUGGAAGGUUAAUUGAUGGGGUCAGCCGCAAGGCGAAGCUCUUGAUCGAAGCCCCAGUAAACGGCGGCCGUAACUAUAACGGUCCUAAGGUAGCGAAAUUCCUUGUCGGGUAAGUUCCGACCUGCACGAAUGGCGUAAUGAUGGCCAGGCUGUCUCCACCCGAGACUCAGUGAAAUUGAACUCGCUGUGAAGAUGCAGUGUACCCGCGGCAAGACGGAAAGACCCCGUGAACCUUUACUAUAGCUUGACACUGAACAUUGAGCCUUGAUGUGUAGGAUAGGUGGGAGGCAUUGAAGUGUGGACGCCAGUCUGCAUGGAGCCAACCUUGAAAUACCACCCUUUAAUGUUUGAUGUUCUAACUCGGCCCCGUGAUCCGGGGUGAGGACAGUGUCUGGUGGGUAGUUUGACUGGGGCGGUCUCCUCCCAAAGAGUAACGGAGGAGCACGAAGGUUAGCUAAUCACGGUCGGACAUCGUGAGGUUAGUGCAAAGGCAUAAGCUAGCUUGACUGCGAGAGUGACGGCUCGAGCAGGUACGAAAGUAGGUCUUAGUGAUCCGGUGGUUCUGAAUGGAAGGGCCAUCGCUCAACGGAUAAAAGGUACUCCGGGGAUAACAGGCUGAUACCGCCCAAGAGUUCAUAUCGACGGCGGUGUUUGGCACCUCGAUGUCGGCUCAUCACAUCCUGGGGCUGAAGUAGGUCCCAAGGGUAUGGCUGUUCGCCAUUUAAAGUGGUACGCGAGCUGGGUUUAGAACGUCGUGAGACAGUUCGGUCCCUAUCUGCCGUGGGCGUUGGAAGAUUGAGAGGGGCUGCUCCUAGUACGAGAGGACCGGAGUGGACGAAUCACUGGUGUUCGGGUUGUCAUGCCAAUGGCAUUGCCCGGUAGCUAAAUUCGGAAGAGAUAACCGCUGAAAGCAUCUAAGCGGGAAACUUGCCUCGAGAUGAGUCUUCCCUGGGGCUUUAAGCUCCCUGAAGGAACGUUAAAGACUAUGACGUUGAUAGGCUGGGUGUGUAAGUGCAGCGAUGCAUUGAGCUAACCAGUACUAAUGAUCCGUGAGGCUUAACCUUAC
rnacentral:rRNA from 1 species